GGGAAUGUAGCUCAGUGGUAGAGUGCUUGCCUAGCAUACACGAGGCCCUGGGUUCCAUCCCAGUAAUUCCC
rnacentral:tRNA from 1 species